ACAUCACACCUGAAUUGUCCUUUGAGCAUCUUUAAUGAAAAGCCUCAUAUCUGUGGACAGUGUUGCCAGGUUUGUGUGUUUUCAGUAAUGUUGAGUUUAUUUGUUUUUUUGGGUCGUUUUCUUACACUUGUUUUCAAACUACAGUUUGUUAUUUUAGUUUGUUUUCUACAUCUGAAUA